rnacentral:rRNA from 1 species
UACGGGAGGCGACAGUGGGGAAUUUUGGGCAAUGGCCGAAAGGCUGACCCAGCGACGCCGCGUGCGGGAGGACGCCCUUCGGGGUGUAAACCGCUGUCAGAGGGGACGAAAGGCCGGGGUGGGUAUACUGCCCUGGAGUGACGGUACCCUCAGAGGAAGCACCGGCUAACUCUGUGCCAGCAGCCGCGGUAUCUG